rnacentral:rRNA from 1 species
CCUACGGGUGGCAGCAGUGAGGAAUAUUGGUCAAUGGGCGCGAGCCUGAACCAGCCAAGUAGCGUGAAGGAUGACUGCCCUACGGUUUGUAAACUUCUUUUAUAAAGGAAUAAAGUGAGACACUUGUGCCUUUUUGUAUUUACUUUAUGAAUAAUGAUCGGCUAACUCCAUUCCAGCAGCAGCGGUAAUACGGAGGAUCCGAUCGUUAUCCGGAUUUAUUGGGUUUAAAGGGAGCGUAGAUGGUAUGUUAAGUCAGUUGUGAAAGUUUGCGGCUAAACCGUAAAAUUGAAAUUGAUACUGGCAGCCUUGAGUGCAGUUGAGGUAGGUGGAAUUCGUGGUGUAGCGGUGAAAUGCUUAGAUAUCACGAAGAACUCCGAUUGCGAAGGCAGCCUACUAAACUGCAACUGACAUUGAUGCUCGAAAGUGUGGGUAUCAAACAGGAUUAGAUACCCUUGUAGUC